rnacentral:rRNA from 1 species
UGGGGAAUUUUGCACAAUGGGGGAAACCCUGAUGCAGCGACGCCGCGUGAUUUAGAAGGCCUUCGGGUUGUAAAAAUCUUUUGUAUGGGAAGAAAAUGACAGUACCAUACGAAUAAGGACCGGCUAAUUACGUGCCAGCAGCCGCGGUAAUACGUAAGGUCCGAGCGUUGUCCGGAAUCAUUGGGCGUAAAGGGUACGUAGGCGGAUAAGCAAGUUAGAAGUGAAAUCCUAUAGCUCAACUAUAGUAAGCUUUUAAAACUGCUCAUCUUGAGGUAUGGAAGGGAAAGUGGAAUACCUAGUGUAGCGGUGAAAUGCGCAGAUAUUAGGAGGAAUACCGGUGGCGAAGACGACUUUCUGGCCAUAUACUGACGCUGAGGUACGAAAGCGUGGGUAGCAAACAGG